rnacentral:lncRNA from 1 species
GAGCAGAUUGCUUUGAGUGACAACGGCAGUAGCAGAGAACAGAGAAGAGGGGUGACGAUAAAAAUGCCUUUGACCGCCGAUCAAUCGACUGACGAGAGGUGCAACGUGUGAGGCUGAAGUGUUCCGUUACUUGAAUUGACUAAAGACUUAAUUACCCUUCAUAUAUAUUGAAAACGACACAUGAGAUAAGUUUUUGUUUCAUUUCAUUUCACUUCUCUCUCCUCACUACUUGUGGGUUUCGACUGAGAGUUCCUCCAAAAUAGAAAAUCGAGCUUUGAAAUCUUCAGAAAACCGAUUGUUGCAAAACAGAAAACUGAAACCCUUACCGAAUCAUCAAAGCCCAGAGUUCCUUCUCCAACUUGAGCUUCAAAAAAUGGAAGCCCUUGAAAUCUCACUUCGACCCCCCUCAAGUCCUAGAAUCGGAAGCCCUCAGUUCGACCCUCCUCAAGCCCUCACUUCGAUCUCUCCGCUCCUGUUGGCCCUCAUCAGUUCGAUCUCCUUGUUCCACACUUCGAUUCGGUAAGGGCUUGACCUCGUAUGAUUUCUUUUAAUUCCUUAUGCGAUUUGAAAGUUAUUCAGUUGAUUUGGCACUCAAAUUGUUACUCUAUUCUUCUGAGUAUUAAUGUUAUUUAGCUUUAAUACCAUUGUGCCACAAUUCAGAUUAGGAAGAACAGAGGAACAUUUCACGUGAAAAAAUCAACUGAUUUUUUUUAAUCUGAUGAACAGUUCAGGUGAAAAAAGCAACUGAAAAAUUCAUAGACUAUAACAAUUCCCUGUAAACGCAAGAAGCCCAUCGUGUGUUUUAACCAGUUGUUAAAGAACAAAUUAGGAUAAGGACAACACACAUAGUAAAAUCAGUUCAAGCCUAAGAGAUUUAUUUGUCCAUUGUCAUUGCCUAUAAAACACCAAAGUAUACUAUAAUUGCAUAUUAUUAAAAUGAUUUUAUUUUCAAAUAAUAUAUUUUAUGUUUCUAAAUUUAUUGAUUCUGACUUUCUCAUAAAAUAAAUUUUCUUACUUUCACACUAAUACUGAAAGGGCAAAUCGCAAAACUAUAUCUUUAGAACUGCAGUCUCCUAAAAGUUUAGAAUAAUAUUUUGGGACGGUCUGAACUCUUUUCUCUAUAUAUAUGGAUGAUACUGCAUAGUAAUUUUUACAGUUGGUAUUUUGCAGUUUGGGUGGUUAUGUUGUGUACAUAUUCUUCCAUUUAUCGUCUUUUUUUGAAUUGAAAUUGUUUCGGCUAGUGGAUCUGGCACUUGAAAAUGAAGUGUGGGGGUGGGGGGCAAUGUGUUUUAGUUUAUUUUAUCUGGAUUUAGUUAUAGGCAGCUAGAAUUUCUAUGUUAUGAAAGCAACAUGUUGAAUUCUACAACUGACCAGCAAUUGGAGCAAGGUAGCAAAAAGUAGCUUCAACAUCUCAGUACUAAAAGAGAAGAUAGAUUCAACAUCUCACUACUUGGCUCCAGAACCUCAAAUAGACUCAUGAAUAUUGAUUUUGGGGUAUUUAUCUGGUUGAUCUUUGUAUUGCACACCUUCCCUCAUUUAAAUUGUUUUUUUUCUUUCUUCUUUAUCUUAAAAAAUAUUGAUUAUAGAGCUCAUUCACACACAAAAAUAUGUUUAGAUACUUUUCAUAUCAUUUAAAAUUUAAGUAUGUUUUUACAUAAAAUCAUGUAUAAUCAAUUGAUAAUAUAUGAAUGUUUGCAAAAUAGGCCAGUCAUACCUUCAAAAUUGAUGUUAUCACAUUUAUAUCGAAUAUAUAACUAUUUAAAAGUAAUUUUUGGAACUUAAAAGUGAUAUGUUUAAUUUGAUUAUGCUUUUCUGUUAUGUUAUAUCUACUAGCUAACGACACAGUUGAUGACAUAAUAUGGUAUGCUCAUUUCUAUCAGCCAUAUUAUUCGGCUGAUUAUAGAUUGAUUAAUCAGUAAACUAAAACUCUUAUUUUCCAUAACAGGGACGUUGUUCAAAGCAAAUUGGAAAAUUUGGGACAUGUUAAUUUUACCUCAUCUAUAUCUCAUCCUGGAUUAUGAACACUCUACAGACUGCAAUCAUUACUGCUCAUUUUUUGUUUUAAUAAAAAAUUGUUAUUAAAACUGCUCAUGAAUAUGCAGAUGCUUGAUGGACAUGAGAAUUCAUUGGAAGUAACAAGUCAGUCAAGAAGCAGCCCAGCAAAACAGAAAACACUGGACUCCUUCAUAAAGCGGUGCAAUACUAGUCAAAACCACGAACACAAGCCUAAACUUAAGUACCCAAGGCAUUGAACUGCGGUUGAACAUAAUUGAAGUGUAUGAUCAUGCUCAGACACCGCUGUCACAGAUCUGCAACGGGGAUCCUGAUGCUGAACAAAUUGAUAUGUGGUGUUCCCAGUCGUAAUAAGUAGGAUAUUCUUCAGAUUUUGGGGUGGGGCUGUAAUUACACUUGCAUAUAUAUAUAUAUAUGUAUUUCCUUAAUCCUUAUGAACCUUUUGGGAGCAUUAAUGACAUCUCUGCAUUCUUCUCGGCUUCUGGCUUAGUGUAAAGUCACCCCAUUUUUGUAACAUAAAUUUACAUGAUGCUUUUUGCAACUUGAAAUGCUGUGAUUUUUUUGAGGAAAUAGAAAGAUUGAUGUCUACUUGAGGA